GGUUACUAUCAGAAUGAAAUGAUAACUUUGCAAAAAUAUCCAUCAAAGAGAUACCAUAUAUAUCAAGAACCACUAAUUCAAAAUAAUUAAACCAGCUAACUGAUUAUAAUUGUCACACGUCAGACUGCUGGUAGAAUCUUGUCUACAUACUUCGGCUCUAUUGAAUUAUUUGUUGUCCAAAGAGAUUGGUACAAAAGACCAAGAAGACAUAGUUGUACAAGAGACUGACCAUUUUAUAAAGUAAAUAGAAUUAAAUUCUGAGCAUAACUUUUUCCUUCUCAUUGCAGCUCAUUUGGGAGCAUAAUCUUCUAAAAAUCUACCAUAUAGUAUUUCUUACGGAGAUAAUAAAAUUGCACUAUUUGAAAAAGGAACAAGUUACUCUCAGCUACUUCAACAUAGGAGACAUUCAAAAGGAGGACAUUAUUUCAUCAGAUAACUAAAUUAAUUGGAAUUCAAAAUUACAUGUCAAAUAAUUCUAAAGAAUUUAGCAUUUCCUCUUUUACCCGGCUAAACCAAAUUAAUUGGAAUUCAAAAUUACAUGUCAAAAUAUAGCUAAUAAUUCUAAAAUUUAGCAUUUCCUCUUAUACCCGGCUCAUAGAAAAUGAAGAAGAUCACAACUUAGUCAAUAACUCCCAUAGCUGCUGAUGAACAAUAAAUAAUCUACAUAUGUUUACCUUUAAAUCUUCUAUAAUUCACUCAUACUAAAAUCUUCAUUAAAAUUUUCAUUUCGUACUAACAUUUGACCAACAGUAACUCAUCUAAAAAUUCCAUCUUUUUAAUCAAUUACUCAUACCCCAAUAUGCCCAAAAAUUUCACUUAAUUACAAAGUGGGUAUGCACAAAAACAAAAAUUUCUUAAGCAAUAUCACUAAUUACUUCUUAGAAGAACGAGCAGAGAUGAACCCACAUGGAAUCCUGAACUGUGGCAAUAACCCAACUGCCAUGCAUGAAAAUCAAAAUAAAAAAUGAAAAAACAUUAAAGUUUCAAACUUUGAGCAAUUAAGCGUUCAGUGAA
rnacentral:lncRNA from 1 species